UCUGAGCGAACGUCUCAGCCGGUUAGCUCAUGGGUGGAACAUUGACAUUGGUGCGGAGCCGAACGGCUCGAACUCAGUACGCCUCCUCGGAGGAAGGAACGGUUCGGAUCACUAGGCGCCGCACAUGCACGCUGUUGGGUCCUGAGGGACCGGGCCUCAUCGAAUGAUGAGAACUGGACCUCUGGACCUUUUCUUGUCGGCAUCACUUGCCGGACGGAGAAGGUACCGCCCGUACUUUGAGAACUACACAGUGGACGCGAGCAUCUUAGAUUCGAACUUUCGGGUUCGGAUCACAAAAGAUGAUCACAGUACUUAUGUACUGAUUAGAUCAUUGGUCAAUCUGCGUCGAACCUGCUCCGGUAGGUACGACGCCGAUCGAUUCAAACUCAUGUGAU
rnacentral:misc_RNA from 1 species